rnacentral:lncRNA from 1 species
UUGUUUACUUUAAAAUGUGGAGUGAAGUGGAGGUUUGCCAUCUGGGGCUUGGAACUCCAUACAUACCUGAAAGAGUGAAUGCUGGGCCUCCACCCACCUCCUUGUUUCUGUCUUUGGGCAUUCAUUACUUUAUCCUGCUCAGUGCAUGCUCUGGGGACAGAAAUGAGCUAAAAUACUUUAUGGCCAGGACUGAGAGGUUACAUUCCUUCCCCUGUGACACAGUCCCAGACUCCCUGCUGCCCUCCUCCGCAGUGCACACAAGCAUGUGGAGGAGGGAUUUUGAAAUCUGAACAAUUAUAAAUUAUUUUCUUAUUUUUUUCAAGGGCCGCAUUUCCAUAACAAGCUCUGGACCAUACUACAAAUAGAGGUUUGGCUUUAUUAGCUUACGGAAUGCAUCUCAGACCAGGAAUGAGUCCAGGCUGGUCGUACAGUCUUUUCUCACAGAACUGUAUUGUAUGAAGGAAACAAAGGAAUAUAUAUUGACAGCACAAAGUAAUUCUUUAAUCAGCUUGUAAAGAACUGAGUGUGAAGCAUUAAAAACACUGAUGUCAUGAAAGAAAACACUCGAUUCUUUGUAAGUCUUCUAAAGGCAUCUGUGUACUAAGCUACGUGUACAAUGACCAUCUAACACAUAUGAAGUAAUGUGGUGAUGCCUAGGCCACGGAAAUAUCACGUAUGUCCUAAAAUUAAUCAUUUAAGAGAGCUUAUGGGGAAGUCACAAAGAAUACUCCAUCAUCAAGUCAAGAGCUCACUGUUUCCAACUUG